rnacentral:tRNA from 1 species
GCGGGCGUGGCGAAAUUGGCAGACGCACCAGACUUAGGAUCUGGCGCCGUAAGGUAUGUGGGUUCGAGUCCCUCCGCCCGCA